CAUUGCGAAAAGUCAUGCGACCUGCACUUUUUGAGAAGCAUUACUCUUUGAACGCACCUUGCACGUGAGGCUAUUGCCUUACGAGGUCCUGUUUGAGCAAGUGAAUUAAGAUAAUAUUUGACUGUUGAAUGUAUAAUGUAUUACAGCACACGACAGUUUAAAAAGAUAUGGGACAGCCUGAACGACUCUAAGGCAAAUUUUGACAAUGAUACUUUAACAGUGAUUCAAUUCACACAGUCAAAGUAUCAAAGUCAUGAUAAACCAUAUUUAAAGGGUUAGAUAAGAGUUAACUCUACUCUAAUCACUAACACACACAACAUCUCAAAUCAGGAUAGAGGACCCGCUGAACUUAA
rnacentral:misc_RNA from 1 species